rnacentral:rRNA from 1 species
UAGGGAAUCUUCCACAAUGGACGAAAGUCUGAUGGAGCAACGCCGCGUGAGUGAAGAAGGUUUUCGGAUCGUAAAGCUCUGUUGUUGGUGAAGAAGGAUAGAGGCAGUAACUGGUCUUUAUUUGACGGUAAUCAACCAGAAAGUCACGGCUAACUACGUGCCAGCAGCCGCGGUAAUACGUAGGUGGCAAGCGUUGUCCGGAUUUAUUGGGCGUAAAGCGAGCGCAGGCGGAAUGAUAAGUCUGAUGUGAAAGCCCACGGCUCAACCGUGGAACUGCAUCGGAAACUGUCAUUCUUGAGUGCAGAAGAGGAGAGUGGAACUCCAUGUGCAGCGGUGGAAUGCGUAGAUAUAUGGAAGAACACCAGUGGCGAAGGCGGCUCUCUGGUCUGCAACUGACGCUGAGGCUCGAAAGCAUGGGUAGCGAACAGGAUUAGAUACCCUGGUAGUCCAUGCCGUAAACGAUGAGCGCUAGGUGUUGGGGACUUUCCGGUCCUCAGUGCCGCAGCAAACGCAUUAAGCGCUCCGCCUGGG